GGUAAGUCUUCUUUCUCUACUCACUUCCCCCUUAUCUCUAUGACUUCUCGAAAAAAACAAUUAGACCUAAACAUUUCAGAUCUGUUUCUUUAUCUACUCACCUCCCCCUGUUCUCUGUCGAAGAUUUUUAUUGACUCUUCCUUAUUUAAUUUCUCGUCUCUGCUCUCAAAUACCAAGCUUUCUCUGUAAUUUGAACCGCUGAUUUUACGUUUCAACCUCGAAAAAUCCAAGCUUUUCUGUCAAUUGAAGACUUUGUGAUUCUUGAAAUUCGUCUUUGUUUAAUGGGCACAAUUAGGGUUUUCAAGGAGGUUCCCGGAUCUUUGAAAUCGACUUAGUUCAUAGUCACCUCAGUUUUGGUGAUUUUAUUUGAUAAAAUCUGGUAUGUGUAUGUGUUUGUGUUUGUGUCUGUGUCUUAGAAGCUUAUAUAUGGUUUGAACAUGUGAGUUUUGUUUACUAUAUUAUUUUGUUGUUUGUGAUCAAUAGACUGGAUUUGGAGAAGUUGAAGAACAUGUCAAGAAGCUUGAAGAAGCAGUUGGCUGGAAGAAGAUAGGACCCUUUGAUUGGUUUCAAUUUUUAUAGCCCCUAAUGGAAAGGAAACUGGUCCCAGCUCUGCCUUACCUGCAAGAUAAUUAGACCGGUGCGAUCUAAACACUCUCCCACAUGUAAGCGCUGCGUUGAGCAGUUUGACCAUCACUGCCUCCGGAUUUCCAACUGUGUUGGUAAGAAGAAUAAACGACUUCUUAGUCUUUGUGAUCAUGGGAGCUUUAACAUCAUUCGUUGGCGGCACAACUGCUGUUCAAAGUAUGUGACUGAAACAACUCUCCCUAGCAAUCCUACCAUUGAACAUACCGAUGCUGCCGUGUUUCUAUUUUUCCACUUGAUCUUGGAACAUUAGUGGGAACUACUUAGGUUUCAAUGAUGGAAUACAAAGCAAUUGUGAAUGUGCUACAAACCAUUUAUUAUGUAGUUGUUCAUCUAUUCUUUUUCUAAUUAUGUUUUUUUGAGGAGGAUGAAGUAUUCUUUUUUUAGUUCUGAUUUUUAAUUUUAUUUUGUAAUACAGUUUUUUUUUGUAAUCAUGGCUUAGAAUAAUCAAUAUAGUAUUCGAAAUAUGUUUUAAAUUA